rfam:Pteropus alecto contig70262, whole genome shotgun sequence.
GGUUCCCUAGUGUAGCAGUGAGCACGUCUGCUUCACACACAGAAGGUCCUGGGUUCGCGCCCCAAUGGAGCCA